rfam:Heligmosomoides polygyrus genome assembly, scaffold: HPBE_scaffold0005843
GCGCCGGUGGUGUAAAGGUGUAGAGCAUUACCGCCCGGUCAGAGGGGGGUGCGGGUUCGAGUCCCGCCUGGCGCU